AAAUAAAGCUUAUGUGAAGCGUUUCGGAAUACCGAAGAACUAUUAAGAUUAGUAUAUUUUAAAAUUAUAACUUAUUAUUAUAAUAAAUGUAUUAUUAGUUGUGAGAAAAAUAAUUUAAAUGAAAAAAAAUUAGUAUUUAUUAAGAAAUUUUUAUAAGAUAAUAGUUAAUAGUAUUGUAAAAGAAUGUUAAUAUAUUAUUAAAAUAAUUAAAUAAUAUAAAUUUAAAUGUGCCUUGUGUAUCAUAAAAUAAUAAAUUAAUUUUUGUAAAAAUUAAUCCCGAAAAAAAGGUAGUUAAAUUAUUAAAAAAAUUUUUGUAUUAAUAAAAUUAAUAAUAGUAAUUUAGAGAUGAAAUGUCAGUCGAACUUUUAUAUCUGGUUUUAAAUAAAAUGAAUUCAAUUCAAGCUUUAUUAAUUAAAAUAGAGUUAAAGAACAAGGGGGUGAGCUUUUUGUUCAAUUAUAAAAUAAUAUAAAUUUAAAAUUAAAAUUUUAUUGAGAUCUAGGCUUAUAAGUAGCCAUUUUUUAAAAGUGUUUUAACUAAUAUUUACGUAUUUUAAUAUAUAAUUUAUAUUAUUUAAAAAUUUAAUUUUAAUUUUUAAAAAAAUUAUAAUUUAAAUUGAUAUUUAAAAAGAACUCGGCAAAGAGAUUCUUGCCUGUUUAACAAAAACAUGUCUAUAUGAAGGUGUAUAUAGUUUAGCCUGCUCACUGAUUAUAUUAAAGAGCCGCAGUAUUCUGACUGUGCGAAGGUAGCAUAAUAAAUUGUCUUUUAAAUGAAGGCUUGAAUGAAAGGUUGGACAAAGUAUCAUCUGUUUCUUAAAUAUUUAUUGAAUUUGACUUUCAAGUGAAAAGGCUUGAAUGAAACGAUAAAGACGAUAAGACCCUAUAAAUCUUUACAGUAAACAUAUUUUAUAUCUUAAUUUAUAAGUAUAUAAGAUAUUAAAUAUGUAAUUGUUUCGCUGGGGCGGCGUAGAUAUAUAAACAAACUGUCUACACAUUAAAUUCAAUAAUUAUUGAUUAAUAAAAUUGAUCCUUAAAUAGAUUAAGAGAUUAAGAUACUUUAGGGAUAACAGCGUUAUUUUUUCUGAGAGUUCUUAUCGAAGAAAAAGUUUGCGACCUCGAUGUUGAAUUAAAGUAUCUUUAUGGUGCAGCCGCUAUAAGAGAGAGUCUGUUCGACUUUUAAUACUUUACAUGAUUUGAGUUCAGACCGGCGUGAGCAGGUUGGUUUCUAUCUUUUGUUAGAUAUAAAUUAUUUUAGUACGAAAGGACCAAAUAAUUUAAAAUUUUUAUAAUUUAGA
rnacentral:rRNA from 1 species